UAUAGUAGUAACUUGCGAUAGUUUUGAGGUAUUGAUUUGAGUAAUGUUUGGACUACUGGUGUCAAGAUCUUGAGCCUAUUAGUGAUAGGUGUCGUAUUUUGGGAAAUCCGUGUUUUUUCAAAAACAAAAAAAUUAGUUGAGAACUCUAGCUACUAGACAGAUCGCUAACCUCUGGAAGGAUUGGAAUAUAUAGAGUACUCUCACGUUACCAUGGGUCGAGGAUGCGCAAGGAUAACCAAACCCCCAAACACUCCUCCUUAGGGUGCUUGUCUCUUUGUGAAUCUUCUAACUAGAUAGAGAGUUAUCGAUAAUAAGUGCAUGAGUUCUUCGGACUAAUGUUAGUAUUCGAUUGUUGGCACUUCCACCAUCCAUAUUUUGCUAGCCUCUUCAGUACCGUGCAUUGCCCUUUCUCAUCUUGAGAGUUGGUGCAAACUUCGCCGGUGCAUCCAAACCCUUGGCAUGAUAUGCUCUGUCAUCAUAAGCCUCAUUAUAUC
rnacentral:lncRNA from 1 species